rnacentral:rRNA from 1 species
GAGGAAUGUAUAGCAAUAGCUACUUGCAUCAUAGUUAAUAUGAUGCAAGCUCGACUAAGUUGAAUAAAAUUCUAGGUAGAAUUAUGAUAAUGACAUUGUCUGCCUAUGUGUCUUGACCAAAUUACGUGCCAGCAGUCGCGGGAAUACGUAGAAGACUAGUGUUAUUCAUGUUUAAUCGGUUUAAAGGGUACCUAGACGGUGAAUCAAGCUUUGGUGUAAAUAAUAAAAACCAUAUUGUAUAAGACCUAUAUUUGAGAUACAUAUUUACAUAUGAUAAGGACUAAUUUACUAGAGUUACUUACGAGGGGGUAUUAAAGUACUGCUGGUGUAGAGAUGAAAUUCUGUCAUACCUCUUUUCGAAAGAAAAAUCAUGGCACAGGUAUAGGCGAAGGCAUCCCCUUAUGGGCUAACUGACGUUGAGGGACGAAGGCUUCAUGUAACAAACAGGAUUAGAUACCCUAGUAGUUGAAAGCAGAAAAUGAUGAAUGUCAUAGAUUAGAUAUAUAAGUUUAUUCUAUAAAUGAAAGUGUAAGCAUUCCACCUCAUGAGUAAUUUGGCAACAUUGGAAUUGAAAUCAUUAGACCGUUUCUGAAACCAGUAGUGAAGUAUGUUGUUUAAUUUGAUACUCCGCAAAAAACCUUACCACAAUUUGAAUAUUUAUAUCUUUUAUUGUUUUCAUCUUAAUUUUAUUAUGAUUUUAUUUUUCUUUUUAAAAAAAGAAAAAAUUAAGAAUAAGGCAAUAAGAUACAUUUACAAGCGUUGCACGGCUGUCUUCAGUUAAUGUCGUGAGACUUUGGUUAGUUCCAUUAAAUUAACGUAAACCCUUACUUUAUUUUUUAUAUAGAGUAGUUCCCCACUAUAUUGGAUAUGAU